AANUUCGGGGUGGCAGGCGAUACGGGCAUAACUAGAGUGCUGUAGGGGAGACUGGAAUUCCNGGUGUAGCGGUGGAAUGCGCAGAUAUCAGGAGGAACACCGAUGGCGAAGGCAGGUCUCUGGGCAGUAGCUGACGCUGAGGAGCGAAAGCAUGGGGAGCGAACAGGAUUAGAUACCCUGGUAGUCCAUGCUGUAAACGGUGGGCGUUAGGUGUGGGGACCGGUUUGGUUUCUGUGCCGUAGCUAACGCAUUAAGCGCCCCGCCUGGGGAGUACGGCCGCAAGGCUAAAACUCAAAGGAAUUGACGGGGGCCCGCACAAGCGGCGGAGCAUGUGGAUUAAUUCGAUGCAACGCGAAGAACCUUACCUGGGUUUGACAUGCACCAGACGGUUGUAGAGAUACGUACCUCCCUUUGUGGUUGGUGUGCAGGUGGUGCAUGGUUGUCGUCAGCUCGUGUCGUGAGAUGUUGGGUUAAGUCCCGCAACGAGCGCAACCCUUGUCUUAUGUUGCCAGCACUUUGGGUGGGGGCUCAUGAGAGACUGCCGGGGUUAACUCGGAGGAAGGUGGGGGUGACGUCAAAUCAUCAUGCCCUUUAUGCCCAGGGCUUCACACAUGCUACAAUGGUUAGUACAACGCGCUGCGAGCCUGUGAGGGUGAGCGAAUCGCUGAAAGCUAAUCUCAGUUCGGAUUGGGGUCUGCAACUCGACCCCAUGAAGUCGGAGUCGCUAGUAAUCGCGGAUCAGCAAUGCUGCGGUGAAUACGUUCCCGGGCCUUGUACACACCGCCCGUCACGUCAUGAAAGUUGGUAACACCCGAAGCCCAUGG
rnacentral:rRNA from 1 species